AAUAUCCCCAGGUUUGACUUUUACUUCAAAAGAAGAGGAGGAAAGUCAUUUUAUAUUUUAGGCAGUUUUAAUAUAAUCAAUUAUUGGUCGUUGACCAUUAUAAAUUAAUAGUCAAUGUUUGGAAAUAUAUAUCUAAUUAAGCUCAACUUGGUAGUGCAAAAUAAGUGACAUGUCAAAAAUAUCUCAAUCAAUGUUAUUUUGGGGUAAGAGAUUGCAAAUAUGUACCCUUUAUAAUCAUUAAUAAAUGUUCAUUUUAUGUGCUUAAUUCUUGAUGUUAAGUCACUGAACAUGCCCAUGGCAUGAAACUUGGGACUAUUAAAUGCCUUUACUUUUAUUAUACCCUGAAUAUAACAGUGGUGAGACUUUCACAAAAA